rnacentral:rRNA from 1 species
GACGAACGCUGGCGGCGUGCCUAAUACAUGCAAGUUGAGCGAUGAAGAUUGGUGCUUGCCCCAAUUUGAAGAGCAGCGAACGGGUGAGUAACGCGUGGGGAAUCUGCCUUUGAGCGGGGGACAACAUUUGGAAACGAAUGCUAAUACCGCAUAACAACUUUAAACAUAAGUUUUAAGUUUGAAAGAUGCAAUUGCAUCACUCAAAGAUGAUCCCGCGUUGUAUUAGCUAGUUGGUGAGGUAAAGGCUCACCAAGGCGAUGAUACAUAGCCGACCUGAGAGGGUGAUCGGCCACAUUGGGACUGAGACACGGCCCAAACUCCUACGGGAGGCAGCAGUAGGGAAUCUUCGGCAAUGGACGAAAGUCUGACCGAGCAACGCCGCGUGAGUGAAGAAGGGUGUCGGAUCGUAAAACUCUGUUGGUAGAGAAGAACGUUGGUGAGAGUGGAAAGCUCAUCAAGUGACGGUAACUACCCAGAAAGGGACGGCUAACUACGUG